rnacentral:rRNA from 1 species
UACGUAAGGGGCUAGCGUUGUCCGGAAUCAUUGGGCGUAAAGCGCGUGUAGGCGGUCCGGUAAGUCCGCUGUGAAAGUCGAGGGCUCAACCCUCGAAUGCCGGUGGAUACUGUCGGGCUAGAGUACGGAAGAGGCGAGUGGAAUUCCUGGUGUAGCGGUGAAAUGCGCAGAUAUCAGGAGGAACACCAAUUGCGAAGGCAGCUCGCUGGGACGUUACUGACGCUGAGACGCGAAAGCGUGGGGAGCAAACAGG